rnacentral:rRNA from 1 species
GAUGAACGCUAGCGAUAGGCUUAACACAUGCAAGUCGAGGGGCAGCAUGGUCUUAGCUUGCUAAGACUGAUGGCGACCGGCGCACGGGUGCGUAACGCGUAUGCAACUUGCCUCACAGAGGGGGAUAACCCGUCGAAAGACGGACUAAUACCGCGUACACUCUAUUUUGGGCAUCCAAGGUAGAGGAAAUGAAAUUCGCUGUGAGAUAGGCAUGCGUCCCAUUAGCUAGUUGGUGAGGUAACGGCUCACCAAGGCGACGAUGGGUAGGGGAACUGAGAGGUUGAACCCCCAGACUGGUACAGAGGCACGGACCAGACUCGUACGGGAGGCAGGAGUGAGGGAAAUUAGUCAGUGGGCGAGGGCCUGAACCAGCCAAGGCGCGUGAAAGAUGACUGUCUUAUGGAAUGUAAACUUCUUGUGUAAGGGAAUAAAGAGGGGCACGUGUGCCCCAGUGAAUGUACCCUACGAAUAAGCAACGGCUAACUCCGUG